ACCAGAAUGGCCUAGUGAUUUAAGCGCUGGACUAGUGCUCUGGAGACCAGGGUUCAAAUCCCUGCUCAGCCA